rnacentral:rRNA from 1 species
ACAUCCAGCGAACUUGGCAGAGAUGCCUUGGUGCCUUCGGGAACGCUGAGACAGGUGCUGCAUGGCUGUCGUCAGCUCGUGUUGUGAAAUGUUGGGUUAAGUCCCGNAACGAGCGCAACCCUUUAUCCUUUGUUGCCAGCGAUUCGGUCGGGAACUCAAAGGAGACUGCCGGUGAUAAACCGGAGGAAGGUGGGGAUGACGUCAAGUCAUCAUGGCCCUUACGAGUAGGGCUACACACGUGCUACAAUGGCGCAUACAAAGAGAAGCGACCUCGCGAGAGCAAGCGGACCUCAUAAAGUGCGUCGUAGUCCGGAUCGGAGUCUGCAACUCGACUCCGUGAAGUCGGAAUCGCUAGUAAUCGUGGAUCAGAAUGCCACGGUGAAUACGUUCCCGGGCCUUGUACACACCGCCCGUCACACCAUGGGAGUGGGUUGCAAAAGAAGUAGGUAGCUUAACCCUCGGGAGGGCGCUUACCACUUUGUGAUUCAUGACUGGGGUGAAGUCGUAACAAGGUAAGCGUAGCGAG